UUGUAGGCUCCCAACUCAGUAGGAACAGAGACAACAUCUGUCCUACUGACUGGUGUACCCUGAGCAUCUAACACAAUAUCUGUACCACAUAGGUGCUCAGUAAGUAUUUGUAGCUUGAUUAAACCAUAUUUUGUUUUAAGGAUUUCAUUCCUAAUCACCUUAGGAAAAAACGGAUACAGCCAGAAGAUGUAAUCCUAGCAAGAUAGUAGAUUUUCCAUCACUUCAAGAAGAAAAUGUGCAUUUCUUAAGAUGACCUUCCCAGUAACAAGCAGUACCACAUGACGUCUGGAUGGGCCCCACAACAAUGUUGUCAGUGUCUCUCCAACUUUAGGAAUGUUCCAGGCCCCAUCACCAUUGAACAAGAGAAGUAGUUAUUCAAGUUAACAAAUAUUUAUGGAACACUAGGCACUAAGCACAGUUGGAACAGGAUCAGGGAAUGACAACAUUGAGAGAACAAGAGACAUCAAAGCAAGGAAGACACAUGGCCAACUUCCACAGAAUCCUGCAAAAGCAAUGCACAGAUGGUGUAUGAUAUUGAGUUCCAUGAAAGGCUCUCUGUAUUUUGAUGAUAUUAGUUGAUGCACAGCCCUGAUACAAGAAAUUAUUUGACAAGGCAGAACAAUCUUCCAGAGAGACUAGAAGAAUUUAGUGAAAACGUGACUUGCUUCAUUCAACCAAGGACAUACGGAUCCUAACUGAGAUGCCUGGUCCCAAAGAACUAAUGCCCCUAGAGUUCACAAUGUUAAAUUGAUACGCACAA